CUUGUGUUACACAUAUGCAAGGUGCACUCGCUCAGUUUCCAUAGUCCCACCAGCUUACUACGCACAUCUUGCUGCAUUCCGAGCCCGUUACUACAUUGAAGCGGGAGAAUUCUCCGACAGUGGAUCUGCUGCAGCGGGCCCCGGUGGAGCGAUGAGGGAGAGGGUUGGAGAGGUUCGGGCUCUGCCUGCAAUUAUGGACAAUGUUAAGGAUGUCAUGUUCU